CGAGUGGAAACAUUCGCUAAAACCCCAUAUGCCCCAGGGUGAAAAAGAGGAAAUUAGUAAUACUGAAUAACCUCUGCCUGAAGAGAAGCUCGCGGCUGAUUAGCUAGUUGGUAGGGUAAUGGCUCACCAAGGCGACGAUCAGUAUCUGGUUUGAGAGGACGAUCAGACACACUGGAACUGAGACACGGUCCAGACUCCUACGGGAGGCAGCAGUGAGGAAUUUUCCGCAAUGGGCGAAAGCCUGACGGAGCAAUACCGCGUGAGGGAUGACGGCCUAUGGGUUGUAAACCUCUUUUUUCAGGGAGGAAUCAAUGACGUGUACCUGAAGAAUAAGCAUCGGCUAACUCCGUGCCAGCAGCCGCGGUAAGACGGAGGAUGCAAGUGUCAUCCGGAAUCACUGGGCGUAAAGCGUCUGUAGGUGGUCUAGUAAGUCAACUGUUAAAUCUUGAGGCUCAACUUCAAAAUCGCAGUCGAAACUAUUAGACUAGAGUAUAGUAGGGGUAAAGGGAAUUUCCAGUGGAGCGGUGAAAUGCGUAGAGAUUGGAAAGAACACCGAUGGCGAAGGCACUUUACUGGGCUAUUACUGACACUGAGAGACGAAAGCUAGGGUAGCAAAUGGGAUUAGAUACCCCAGUAGUCCUAGCCGUAAACAAUGGAUACUAGAUGUUGAACAGAUCGACCUGUGCAGUAUCAAAGCUAACGCG
rnacentral:rRNA from 1 species